rnacentral:lncRNA from 1 species
CCUGCCGCCCCCGGGGCCGCGAGAGAAGCGAGCGCGGUCGGCCGCCAGCCGCUCCACGGCGCUCUGGCGCGCGGGGUCCCGGGGCGCGUUCGGAGCUGGAAGGGAGCGCAUUCGGCCGCUCGGUGUCUCGGUGUCGAGUCUCCGGAGCCGAAGUCCACGCAGGGGCCGAACAGCGCCCCAGGGCCGGAUCCGAAGUUGGGGCGAGCCUGAUCCGCGCGAGCGUUGACUCACCCCUGUGUCCCCGCCCCUUUCCCAGCCCUCCCCCCUCCCCCCUCCCGGUAUCCCCACCUCCGCCCAGCCCCCACCCCACCCCCCCCCCGCCCGGUGUCCCUGCUUCCCCUGCCCCGCUGCUCACCUGACUCCCGCCGCGCACCUGCUUGGUGUCCCCUCCCCCGUCCCUGCCCCACCUCCCGCUGCCGGCAGGGGUGGGAGCGCCUUCCCUGCCCAGGCCAGGUGUCUGGCGCUACUUCCUGUCCCGAGUCCCUGCAGUCACUUCUGGACGCCGGCGCUUCCAAGAGAACAGAGGGAAGAGCUCCUCCUCCUCCAGCAGGGCCGUCUGGAAGAACGACCUCAGAAACCACGACCGAGUCACAGCCCCUGUGGCAGAGCAGCCGCCCUCGGGUUUGCACAGGCUGCUCACGAGCAGGAAGGAUCUGUCCUCUCUCCCACCGCCCUUGUGGAGGGACGAAGCCUCACAGAGUGGGAGUGGCUCGCCCGAGGUGGGCAUUUAUGAAUCGGGCUCAAUCGCACUGCCUGGUGCCGCAUCACGCUGCAAAGGCCGGGCUGCCCCUCAGGCUUUCGGGUGACAGUGCCCACCGGUUCCCUGGAAGCCCCCACUGCCCCCAGCCCAGAGCCGGUUUCUACCAAUACUCUCAGUGCUCCUAAAGCUCGGGCACUGAGGGAGACCCCGAGUGCUAUAAGGCGCUAUCAGUGCGCAUGCGUUUUAGAACCAAGCAUUGGGAGAUCGUCUCACGUGUCUUAGUCACCCUCUCACCACUGGGACUCAACACUUGAUGGCCACAGUUUAAGGGAAGGGAGGUUUGUUUUGGCUCACAGUUUGUAAGGUUUCAAUUUGUGGUCGGCUGGCUCCAGGGCAGGGCGGCAAGGCCAAGGGUUAGUAUGGCGUGAAGGUCACUAGGAAGGACACUGGACCUCGGCCCCUGGGCUCACCUCUGGUACCCUGGAUGACGCUUUUCCUCCAGGCUGCUUUCUCUCUGCAUGCAUAGUCAUCCUUUAAAUUUGAGGGAUUUCAUUAAAUUUAAAAAUUGUUAAGAAUUCCUCCUAAUUCUUUUUAUUUGUUGGUUUUUUGAAACAAGUUCUUGCUAUAUAGUUCACGAUGGCCUAGAAGUCACUAUGUAGCCCAAGAUGGCUUUGAACUCACAGUGAUCCUCCUGCCUCAGCCUCCCGAGUCCUAGGACACCAGGCUUUUUUUCUAACUCUAGUAUUGAAACAAGCGGGGCUCCCUGCCUCCCCCACUCUCUGAGCACCCUGUUCACAUCACUCAGGCCGGAGGAAGUGGUUGUGAGCAUCCAGCACUCCUGGGCCCUCUGCCACAGCACCCCUGUGAGUGCUGUGUGAGUGUGUGCGAGUCACAGUCCCCGAGGUUUGCCCUGCUCUUCCUGUCUACACAGGUUGCUUGGCUUACUGCCCUGUGGGGCGGUCGGUUCCUCUCUGUUCUCGGGUCACGGGGGACUCAGGUUGUUGUGGAUAUUUGACUCCCAGAAAUAAAGUUCUUAUGAACAUUUCCACACAGGCCCUUGUGUGAACGUAUAUGUUCAUUCCUCUGGGGUAAAAGCUUGAGAGAACUUACUGUCAUUUUGAGCUGUGAACAUUUAAAUGCUUGUCAGAUUUUUUUUUUAAUUUGGAUUUUUUUUUCCCUUUUAAUUUCUUUGGAGGGAAGGGAGGGAGAGAAGGGGAAGAAAAAAGAAUUAGGAUGUAUUAUGUCCAUGUACCCACUCCCCAGGAUGAAUGUAAUCAUUAUGUGUGGCAAACAUGCACUAAUAAAAAUUCUACAAAUUAAAAAAAUAAAAACUUGAAUUCUUAGAGUCAAAAGUAUAAGAUGUCAAGUAACCCAGCAGCUUACAGAUAAAAAUUUAACAUGAGAGUAUACUGCUUGUAAGUAGAGUGAAACGUUACUGCAUUUGACAUAGAAAUGGCCACAGGUUUUCAAAUUCUUUUUCGUUUGAUUUUUGUUCUUUGAGACAAGGUCUCACCCUGGAGCCCAGGCUGGCUUUGAACUCAAGGUGAUCCUCCUGCCUCUGCCUCUCCAGUGCUGAGAUUUAGGCAUGGAUCACCAUGCCCAGCGUUCAAAUUCUUAACACAGUGAGAAGUCUGCCACCUGUGCCUUGGGGGACACCCUGCUGCAGAGAAAGUGAAGCUGUGGGAGCGGUUUGCACAGAGCUUGGGAGCUUCUGGAGCAAAACCCAGCCUGCUUCUCUUGGGCGGAUCCAGCCAACAACAGGCGGGCGAGCAAGGACAGUUACCACCCCAGCCUUGAAGAGUGUACAAAGUCAGGCACCAGGGCGGGAAGAGGCUCGGCCCUCGGGGCCUCAUUCUGAGGGAGAGAUGCAAAAGAACCAGCCUCAGAGAGAUGCCCAGUCCUUGUCCUGACCCCUCAGCCAGCCAGGUGCACCCUCCAGGCGGGCCCUCCUGUGGGCAGUGGGGAGGAUCGGGGGAGCUGCAGAUAGAGGCUUCGGGGACUGGGCCUCCACGGUGCUGAGGAUGAGCCAGGCCUGGCACAGGGAGGCAAGGGCUCUUCCUCCAAGCCACACCCACCACCAGAGAACCAGGUUAAGGAUCCACUUAAAUGCAGACCAGAAGCAGGGGCAGGAGCAGACGUGUGUGCUGUGGGAACUGUGAGGGCAGAGCCCCAGGUAUGAGACAAGCAGGCUGCGGUAGAGUCCAGGGCCAGAAGCAUCCUGCCACGAUUCUCAGGGGUUCAAGAAUCAAUAAAAACAGCAACUGUAAUAAUCUCUUGUAUUUUGCCAAUGUUUACUAUAUGCAAAAUAUUUUCACUUAAUUAUCAUAUAGCGUAACUUUCCUUUUGAUAGAUUUAAUUUAUAUUUUCUCUAUGCUGCUCUU